GGAGGUAGUGACAAUAAAUCACAAUGCGGGACUUUUAGUUUUGCAAUUGGAUUGAGAACAAUGUAAAAGAGUUAUCGAUAAACAAUUGGAGGGCAAGUCUGGUGCCAGCAGCCGCGGUAAUUCCAGCUCCAAUAGCGUAUAUUAACGUUGUUGCAGUUAAAAAGCUCGUAGUUGAAGUGUGGGGUGAAAAGUUGGUUGUUUCUUUGAAAUGGCUGUCUGCUCACCCCCUCUCCAAUGUGUUAUUAUGGGUAUUAAUUUACUUGUAGUAGCUAUUGGUCAUUUACUGUGAGAAAAUUAGAGUGUUCAAAGCAGGCAUUUGCUUGAAUAUAUUAGCAUGGAAUAAUAAUAAAAGGCUUUUGUGGUCGAUUUAAUUGGUUUGUUCAUAAAAGCAAGAUUAAUAGGGACAGUUGGGGGUAUUCAUAUUCAAUAGUUAGAGGUGAAAUUCUCGGAUUUAUGGAAGAUGAACAAGUGCGAAAGCA
rnacentral:rRNA from 1 species